CAACACAAAUCCAAAAUGGAUGUUACAGAGGCGACCUGCCGUACCCAUCAUCUGGACCCUCCAGGAUACUGCUAGUCCGAUUGUCCAGGAUGAUCCCACUUCCCGUCUCGCUGCCAUAUAUGGAGUUGCAGCGUGGCGUGCCCACCCUGCUGGAGAGCCCUGAGGUGAGCCAGGUUCUUAAUUGGAUAUACCUCUGCUCUUCUACAUCUGGAUCAUCCAUCUGAAGUUCCUUCCUCAUGGUGCCCUCUAUUUCUGCUGCCAGAGAGUCCUAGAGAAGAAGGCAAAAAAAAGAUUUAACAUAAGUUUAAGGUUCAUACCAUCUUGGCCUUCUUCUGGAGGUCUACAAUCUGGGAGAGGAGGUGUGU